AUACGGAGGAUCCGAGCGUUAUCCGGAUUUAUUGGGUUUAAAGGGUGCGCAGGCGGGAGAUUAAGUCGGCGGUGAAAUUUUGCAGGUCAACUGUAAAAGGGCCUUCGAAACUGGUUUCCUUUAGUGUAGAUGAAGUAGGCGGAAUUUGUGGUGUAGCGGUGAAAUGCAUAGAUAUCACGAGGAACUCCGAUUGCGCAGGCAGCUUACUAAACUACUACUGACGCUCAGGCACGAAGGCGUGGGGAUCAAACAGGAUUAGAUACCCUGGUAGUCCACGCAGUAAACGAUGAUUACUAGCUGUUUGCGAUACAAUGUAAGCGGCUGAGCGAAAGCGUUAAGUAAUCCACCUGGGGAGUACGUUCGCAAGAAUGAAACUCAAAUGAAUUGACGGGG
rnacentral:rRNA from 1 species